GUGCUCACUUCGGCAGCACAUAUACUAACAAUGGAACGAUACAGAGAAGAUUAGCAUGGCCCCUGCACAAGGAUGACACACAAUUUCAUGAAGUGUUCCAUAUUUAA
rnacentral:snRNA from 13 species